UACGUAGGGUGCAAGCGUUGUCCGGAAUUAUUGGGCGUAAAGAGCUCGUAGGCGGUUUGUCGCGUCUGCUGUGAAAUCCCGAGGCUCAACCUCGGGCCUGCAGUGGGUACGGGCGAGACUAGAGUGCGGUAGGGGAGACUGGAAUUCCUGGUGUAGCGGUGAAUGCGCAGAUAUCAGGAGGAACACCGGUGGCGAAGGCGGGUCUCUGGGCCGAUGACUGACGCUGAGGAGCGAAAGCGUGGGGAGCGAACAGG
rnacentral:rRNA from 1 species